UCAAUUAUAACAUCCGCAUGUCGAAGAUCCCCCAAAUUGGAUGUGUAUUUCAGAUGGCUCAUAGCAUCAGUAGCUGCUAACUGCGGGAGCUGUCCCUUGGAGACGAAGCGGCGGACGGAGUCGGCGAUGGCCUGGGCCGCGGCGUCGAGGGCGGCAGUGUUGGAAUCGAGGAGAAAAACGUCGAAUCCGGCGACGGCGGCGAUCUGAGCGAUCCCCGAUCCCAUCUGCCCCGCGCCCACCACGCCGAUCACCUCCUUCGCCACUUCCGCCAUGGCCAUAAUCAGCUGGUACCGGAGUAACGGAG
rnacentral:misc_RNA from 1 species